rnacentral:lncRNA from 1 species
CUGCCUCCUUCUAGGCCAGCCCUGAGAGAGGAGAGUGAAAGCCCAGUUCCCGGCACGAGGCUCCGCCUCUGCCGAGCUAUGGAGAGCUGAUCCACAGAUAGCUACACGCGUCAAGGCUCAAAGUCAGCUUGGGAUCUGCGGGUCACUGGCCACUUCCUGUUCCUGCUACUGUUUGCUUCCUGUGUCUUUGAGAAGAAGAGAUAGUCCAGUGGGAAGCGCUCUGAACUUAGUCUGGGUUUGGGUCUCCGCUCUGAAAGUUCCCAGGGGCCGCACCAUCCUCUGCACUG